UCUGCACUAGGCAGUCGCUCGGUCGCAAGGCUGAGAGGAAAGUCCGGACACGCCCGUCGCAAGACGGAGCAAGGUAGCGGGUAACGCCCGCCGGGGUAAUCCCAGGGAUGCGAACAGAGACGUCCGAGCCGAGAGGCGAGGAGGCCCGCAAGGGUCAGCCGAUGUGGAAACAUAUCGGGUGCAACGGCAAAAUUCCUACCCGCGUGCAAGGUCGUGUCACCGAAAGGUGGAGAACCGCUUGAGGUGUUUGGCAACAAACAUCCCAGAUAAAUGACUGCCCUCGACAGAAUCCGGCUUAACGGUGCAGAACAU
rnacentral:RNase_P_RNA from 2 species